UACAGAGGGUGCAAACGUUGUUCGGAAUUACUGGGCGUAAAGCGCGUGUAGGCGGUCCGGAAAGUCGGCUGUGAAAUCCCGCGGCUCAACCGUGGAAGUGCACUCGAAACUACCGGACUCGAGUCCCGGAGAGGAAGGCGGAAUGCUCGGUGUAGAGGUGAAAUUCGUAGAUAUCGAGCGGAACGCCAGUGGCGAAGGCGGCCUUCUGGACGGUGACUGACGCUGAGACGCGAAAGCGUGGGGAGCAAACAGG
rnacentral:rRNA from 1 species